CGACAGAACCGAAGGCAUGGUCAGGAGACAAGUCAAUGGCUGGAGUCAGGAGUUCUGAGGAAGGGAGACAGUUCCAGCCUGAUACGAUCAUGAUUUAUAUCCCCUACAACUGGGAUUCUUGGCAUAUUUUACACAGCUGCUAGGAAAAUUUCAGCAAUACUUGUGUGUGAAGGGAGAUAAAAGUAGGAUGCCUUAGCAAGUUUUAAAAAGGCAUCUGAGCACCUCCACCUCUAUCAGUGCCCAAGUAAAACUGAGAAAAUUGUGGGAAGACAUAACAGUCUACACAUACCCCAAAGUUGUUAAAACAAGGAAGUCAAGGAAGGAGAGGAAUUAUCUUGGUUAACCACAGUUGUUUUCAGUCACUGUAUGUAUAUGGCUUCACAACCUUUCUAGCAUAACUACUGCCUCCUUCCUGUCAACACAAUCAAUCUGAAGUGAGAAGGAUGCCUCGGUGUGACAAACGGGUGAUAUGGACACGGCUAGUUUUUAUGAAUAUAUCUUUAGUGAAUAUUAUCACAGAAAGAGCAGAGCACAUUUAGGGCAUUCUGUCAAAGAAGAUGGAUGGCUUUUCGCCUCUAUCAGGAUGUAAGAAAACAACGAGAAGUCUGGUGGCACCUUAAAGACUAACAGAUUUAAGAAUGUAAGGAUGUAAGAACUUUCUUUCACAAAUCAAAACAAUAAUCGUCAUAUUUUUGGAGCAAAAUUAAAAUAUAACCUCAAGCUUUCUCCCUUAGCCGCUCCUCUUUAGGCUGGAAAGUUGCUAAAGG